rnacentral:rRNA from 1 species
AGCGAACGCUGGCGGCAGGCCUAAUACAUGCAAGUCGAGCGGGUCCUUCGGGAUUAGCGGCGGACGGGUGAGUAACGCGUGGGAACGUGCCCUUUGGUACGGGAACAACUGAGGGAAACUUCAGCUAAUACCGUAUGUGCCCUUCGGGGAAAGAUUAUCGCCAUUGGAGCGGCCCGCGUUGGAUUAGGUAGUUGGUGAGGUAAAGGCUCACCAAGCCUACGAUCCAUAGCUGGUCUGAGAGGAUGACCAGCCACACUGGGACUGAGACACGGCCCAGACUCCUACGGGAGGCAGCAGUAGGGAAUCUUGCGCAAUGGGCGAAAGCCUGACGCAGCCAUGCCGCGUGAAUGAUGAAGGUCUUAGGAUUGUAAAUACUUUCUACCGGGGAC